CACAACCAGAUAGGCAGCUUCCGGGUAUUACUAAACAACCUUUCUCAUAUUUGAAUGGACUCAGUUUAGACCUUCGUUACCCUGCAUGCCCCUUCCUUCCCAAAUUGUUACCUAACGGUGCUACUCUGCAAAUGUAAACAGAGGUGAGAUGUUUUCUGUAAUAGAAUUCCCAAAAUCCAAUGGGAUUUUCCAUUCUAGUAAGAAAACACUCACUUCUGUUGACCAUCCGUCCCUAUUAAAAAAAAAAUCAACAGAGAGACUAGGACAAGUCUUAGUGCUACGCAGCCUUUUAUGGAGCGGACAUGCAGUGGGCGUGGAGGGUGUGACUUGUGCGACUUUUUCACAGUUUGUGACGGCGUCCCUUGUUACAUCAGUGAAAAUAAACAUCUUUUUUCCCUGCAUGUGGAUUCUAAAUUGACAUUGCUCUAAAUCUUGCUAAGUUCUUGUAGUGGUGUGCUUCGUCCUUGCUGUAUAAUAUGACUUAAUCUUUUGUAAUGUGAAAAUAAAGGGCAAUAAAAUUUACCGAAGUAACAAGGGACGCCGUCACAAACUGUGCCCGAACUUCAUAAAAUGACCCAAAUGUAAGUAAACAGACGUGAGUGUUUUCUUACUAGAAUGGAAAAUGUUGGAUUUUGGGAAUUCCUACAGAAGAGAUUGAUUCUACACAUGGUGUACCCACAAACCUUCUCUCUGCCAGAACCACUGUUCUUAUAGAAGAGAUUAAUUCCACACUUGGGACACCCUUAUAAAAUCGUCUCUCAGCCUAAACUGACUGGUACAUUUUGUCCAUUUUUGACUGCAGAGGGGACCACCAACUUUGUAAGGACAUGCACUGUACAUGCACAUGUGCAGUGCUCUUCUGUUAUGUUCAAGCUACAGCCUGCAUGCCAAUCAACCCUGGCAGGAAGAAUUUCCCUUGUGUUUCCGUGCCCCGAUACUGAAGAAGAGGUGUACAAGGAGCUCAUCUCAGGCUGAUGAUGCAGUCAACCUGAGAACAAGGCUGUGUAGGAACCACCCCAGGGGCUGAACUGAAUAAUGCAUGACUAGGGUCUGUCAACACUGGUAUAGUGAGGACAAGAUGUCUCACACAUGUACAUGUAGGUCUACCUUGAUGGAGCCAAUAACCACACUUUCCUUUUGUGACCACCAGAAUGUUAACUUCUGUGACAUCAAAGAGCUCCACCCAAGUCAGUUCUAGUCAAGCCCAA